GACGAACGCUGGCGGCGUGCUUAACACAUGCAAGUCGAACGGAAAGGCCCUGCUUUUGUGGGUGGCUCGAGUGGCGAACGGGUGAGUAACACGGGAGUAACCUGCCCUUGACUUUGGGAUAACUUCAGGAAACUGGGGCUAAUACCGGAUAGGAGCUCCUGCUGCAUGGUGGGGGUUGGAAAGUUUCGGCGGUUGGGGAUGGACUCGCGGCUUAUCAGCUUGUUGGUGGGGUAGUGGCUUACCAAGGCUUUGACGGGUAGCCGGCCUGAGAGGGUGACCGGCCACAUUGGGACUGAGAUACGGCCCAGACUCCUACGGGAGGCAGCAGUGGGGAAUAUUGCACAAUGGGCGGAAGCCUGAUGCAGCAACGCCGCGUGCGGGAUGACGGCCUUCGGGUUGUAAACCGCUUUCGCCUGUGACGAAGCGUGAGUGACGGUAAUGGGUAAAGAAGCACCGGCUAACUACGUG
rnacentral:rRNA from 1 species